AGUACUUCGGUACUGAGUGGCGGACGGGUGAGUAACGCGUGAGAAUCUGCCAAAAGGACUGGGACAACCACUGGAAACGGUGGCUAAUACCAGAUGAGCCGCAACGUAAAAGAGGAAACUCGCCUUUUGAAGAGCUCGCGUCUGAUUAGCUAGUUGGUGAGGUAAAGGCUCACCAAGGCAUCGAUCAGUAGCUGGUCUGAGAGGAUGACCAGCCACACUGGGACUGAGACACGGCCCAGACUCCUACGGGAGGCAGCAGUGGGGAAUUUUCCGCAAUGGGCGAAAGCCUGACGGAGCAAGACCGCGUGAGGGAGGAAGGCUCUUGGGUUGUAAACCUCUUUUGUCAGGGAAGAAGAAAGUGACGGUACCUGACGAAUCAGCAUCGGCUAACUCCGUGCCAGCAGCCGCGGUAAUACGGAGGAUGCAAGCGUUAUCCGGAAUUAUUGGGCGUAAAGCGUCCGCAGGUGGCACUUCAAGUCUGUCGUCAAAGACCGGGGCUUAACCCUGGAAAGGCGAUGGAAACUGAAAGGCUAGAGAGAGGUAGGGGUAGAGGGAAUUCCCAGUGUAGCGGUGAAAUGCGUAGAGAUUGGGAAGAACAUCGGUGGCGAAAGCGCUCUACUGGACCUCAUCUGACACUCAGGGACGAAAGCUAGGGGAGCGAAUGGGAUUAGAUACCC
rnacentral:rRNA from 1 species